rnacentral:rRNA from 1 species
AUGAUAGACCCUAGUUUCUGUGGGCUUGUGACUGAAUCUGAUAGAAGGUGCAUCUUGCACAGGCAGAGGCCAGGCAAGUUUGUGGCAUUUGAAGGCACUGGCACUGGCAGUAGAUUCAUAGGAUGUGCUACUGAGUUUUAGGAUGGUGUGAACUGUGGUGUUCUGGAGUGGGUAGAUGCCCCUCCUGUAAUUCUGCAAAGGUGCUUAAGCAAGCUUUGGGAUAUGUAUCAUGAGCAGAACCUUGGUAGAGCCCAGGAUAAUGAGGCUCAUGGGACAGAGGUUGCAAAACUGCAGAAGGAGCUUGAUUCUCUGGCCAAUCAGUAUAGCCAGCUGGUGGAUGAUGUGUCCAAGUUGUUUGAUUAUCAGGAUGGAAAGAAAUGUCAUGACAUGGAUUGCACAAGCCAGGCAAUGAAUGAACUGAAGGAGAAGAAGAAGCAACUUGAGGAUUAG